GUCUAUGAGUAAUUGAUUCUUGGUUUGAUUUAUUACUUAACAAACUUGCUCCAGGAAUGAGAUAGCUCAAAGAUGGGAACUACUUAUAUUAAAAUUCGUUUAGAAUCAAGGGUUUUUAGGCAGAAUAGGACCUGCUUGGUUAUUGACAUUUGCCACAGCUCGAUCUGCCACCUGGUGGAUAUUUUUGGUGUUAUUUCAAGAGUGAUCAUUUGUAUUUCAAAAUGGAGUAUAGAAGUUGCAAACUAUGUUCUGUUCCAUAAUGCUCAUUACAAGCUACAAAAGGAAUAAGUUUACAUGCAUUUCCAAAAGAAAAGAAAUUAAGAAAUUUGUGGAAGAUUAAAUUAAAAAUAGGAAAGGAUAUAA
rnacentral:lncRNA from 1 species